GUGGGUUUGUGGUGUUGGAUCAGGUGGUUUCUCUUCUCAGCCUUUCUCCUAGUAAUAGGUGGCCCAGUGCUUUUCUCUUGUGACCAAGCUGUGCUCAAAGAAGGCUGGGUGAAGGAGCAGGAAGCUGCACAUCUAUCACGGCUCACAAAAAUGGGGGCUCCUUUGCCAAGCUGCUGAGAAACUCAUCCCCUCACCUCCAGAGAGCUGGGUUUGAUUUGCUCCCAAAGACCAGCAACUGUCAGGCCCUGUGUAUUUAUAUGCCUUUAGAGAUGACUAUAGACACCCCUGUGCAAAGGAAUAAAUGCCAUUCCUGCUGUCUUCCUGUGGUGAGGCAUUCAGGGGAAACCAGAGAACUGGAAAUUAAGCCUAGAGGUGUAGUGGUGCCAGAAGACUGCUGAGAGCCCAAAAUGGCUGUUGCACAUCACAUCCAACCACCAGCACAUGUGGUGGCAUCUUUCAAUUUAGCCUUGUGGAUUUUGCUAACUUUUUACCUAGGUCUAAUUCCUUUAAAAUAUGAAAGAAGCUUUUGGGGGGGGAAAAAAAAAAAAAUCCCCAAAGUGUAUGCAGGGUUUUUUGCUGCUUAGAAGUAUAAAUUUCCUCUUAAGAGGCCAUGAUCAGCCAGUUGAUUUUGUUGAAGAGCUGAUUGUCAUAAAGCUCCAUGGCACACAGGACACAGUGAAAGUGCUGGCAGCCCUUGAACAUGGUCCCAUUUAUGCCAGAGUUACGAUAAAUGCUCUGAAAAACACUUCCAGUUAUUUUAAUUUAUUUUUUCUCUGCAUCCCUGAACUCUGAUCACUUGCAAAUUGAAGUGCUCUUAAAAACUUUAAGUACUCCAUUAAUUUUAAAUUGCUCUAAACUCUGCAAGCCCAGAAACCCAAAGCACUCUUGAAAAUCUGUAGUGCUGCAAUUACUUUGAAUCACUCCAAAAAUGUGGGUUCAAAAUCCAUUUUGUAUGUUUAUUUUUUUUUUUUUUUAUUUUCCCUUGCAGCGCAACAAACACUGCGGAGACAUAAAUCCCUCAGCCCACUAGGAAAAAACCACAUCACUCUAAGAACAAGUUUUCAUCCAAAUUGUUAAAAUAAAAAAAGGAGCAACUUUGAGAAAACUUAAUAAUUCAUUAAGAAAACUUAAUAAAUGCACAAGGAUCGCCAGAAAAUGUGUAUCUUUGCACACUCCUAUCCACACUAAGAUUAGAUGCAGGCGUCUAAAGCAGAAGUUAGUUUGAGAUGAGCACCUCCAGAGACUGGCCAGUGCUCUGAGCUGGCUGCUGGUCUGGCUGGGAGCUCUAUAUAUUUCUUAUUCCGUAUGUACCAGACACUCCCUGUGUGGGAGCUGGGCUCCAUCCGAGACCCCCCAGUGCGCAUAUCAGGCUCCUGGGCUGGUCUGACAGUGAAGAGCCUGGUUCUCUCCCCUGCCCCUGAGGAGUUGUGUGCUCCCCCGUGAACUCCUGCUUCCUCAGCACAGCAAGGGCGCUGUUGAGGAGCCUGAAGAUAAGCUGCUUUCAGCUAAUAUCUCUUCAAAAGGAAAUAGCCUUUUGGCAAGGCGUGGGAGGAGCAGCACAGCACUGCCUCCACUGAGGACAAAUCACUGUGAUCUUCAGCUGCUGGAGGAGAGCUGGGGAUGACUAAUAUGUAAUAAAGCAGCACAGGUUUGGUCCCCUGGUAAAGCCUUUGAUUUCAGUGGCGGCAACUGACAGAUGAAACCAAGAAAUGCUUCACAUGCUCAGAUAACACUGUCUGAAUAAAUAGAAACUCUAAACAGACUUUUCAUUGGAAAUAGGAUGUGAAAUAAUAGCUGUGCUGGAAAGAUUUUGGGAAUCUCUGUUAAGUCAUUUGUUUUACCUUUGUUUUCUCGGAUUUUUUUUUUUUAAAUAAAAAAGAUAAUUCAGUCACAAAA